CAGCUAUAAAGAAGGAAGAAGGAAAGCCAAAGAGGGCAGGACCUGGUCAGACCUCCAGUCAAACGUGGAAGUGUCUGGGCAAAGACCAGCAAGGAGGAAUGUCUGGAUUGGCCCACCCUGGAGGUCAGGAGCACUGUUUGUUUGACUCGAAGUAUGUGUGCCGCACCACACAAACACAUUCGUCCACCUGCCCCCACUGUUAAGCUCCCCACAGUCACACCAAACAUCAAUUUCACCCCUGUUCCCACCGCCACUUUACCAGCAGCACCACCGCCAGCAGCACACGACUCAUUCACAGAGAUGCUGCAGAACUGGCAGCCGAUGGACGAUAUGCCAUCACUGCCAGGCGGUCAGACUUUAUGAGGGGACCCCCAGCAAUCAUCAGAACCAGGUAGGGCCAACCGUGAUUUCCACUCAGCCAUCUUACUGGAAUUUGUGUAGGUUAGGAAUAAGACUGAGGAUGGAUUUGUA